UGAGGCCUGGGGCUUCCAUUUCGGUCCAGCGGGGCUGCGGCUAUUGUUUGUGUAGACGGACUAUUUUGGCCGGUCCCGUCCCCCUCAGAGGCUCCAUAAGUGACGCGGACUCUCGGGAGUACCGAGCCAGAAGCGGACAAGGGCGGGGAGAGCUGUGGCUGAAGAAAGAGUGGCAGAAAAGGGAGGGUGAGGGGCCGAGAAGCGGCUCCGGCUUAGAAAUCUCGAAGACACCGGUGUAGGGACCUGUGAUCACCAAGGCAGGACCGGGAUAGCAAAGGCUCAUGUCCCCAUUUUACAGCUCAGACUCCUCAAAACUCCACCCUUCCCCAAAAGAGGAGCAUAAACAAGGAAGGAAUGUUCACUAUUUUCCUCAAGACUGA